GGAAGAUAAGCGAAUUGGUUAGCAGCAUCAUUGGAAAUGAUGUACCCGUUUACGGGCUGCGGGUUCGAGUCCCGUGCCUUCCG
rnacentral:tRNA from 1 species